UGAUAGUGAGACCUUGUCUAGAAUACUGAGAGCUAAAACAGACAGAACCACCACGAGCAUACUAGAGCCUUCGGAAGGGUGAAGCAUCAGGCAACAAAGACCAUACCAGAUCUGCUGAAUCUAAGUUCUGAAAACAAGUUAGGGAGUUCCGUGUAUUCUACUAGAAGAAGAAAGCUGACUUUGCAGAAGAUUUUGAAAUAAGAUUCAAAAAGUUAUCUUUAUAUCUUUUAAAAAUCACCCUCCCAGCCUUCCAUGUCCACGCCCACAGAGACUUGUUUGAGCUUCUAAAGGUAGAUAAUGUAAAAUAAGGAGUAAAUGGAGGCUGUAAAUAGAACUACUCCAAAACAAGGCAAUAAGCAUAUGGAAUAAGCUAGUAGCACCAUUCAACUUCAAUGACCGAACAACAUUGUGGAGAAACAGGUGGCGGAUUCUACCCUCCAAGCUGCCUCCUCCAUCUGGAACAACCUCAAUGAAUCCCUGAUUCUUUUCAGAUCCCACACACACAGCUUCUAAAAUGAAUUUGCACCAAUGGCAAUAUCAACUGAUAACACCCUUCUGUCUAAUUGCAACAAAACACUUCAAAUGCGAAAUGUGGCUUUUCAAGGAUUCAGGUAUGUUAUGGCACUAUUUUUGUCAAAGUUAGAAAGGAUGUUUUUAAGUGUUGUGUGUAAAGCUGACCUCACUGCACAAUAGUUAAGUGCAUAUACAUCAAAUAAUAAAUAUUUUCAAAAGUACUGAACUGAUUUAAGAGUUCAAGUCCCCACUGUAACUCAAUAUGACAGACGCUUCUGAAAAUUUUACCCAUUACAAUUUGUGCCACUGUGUCAUUAGCCCCUUUUGAAGAGAAACAGUAAUGCUGCAUGUAGGAGAAAGACUUUUGCUUCCCUAGUGGGUAGUCUCAGACAUAGUAUUAGAAUCUAAUAUUAAUUGUAAUUAAAAAUAGAAUGUUCAUGCUCAGAUUAAUUAACUCUUUGCUAAUGCAGACAUAUGCUAUAGUGUUCAAGGAGUCAGUUGUUCCUAAAACAUUCCCUGUACAC